UACGAAGGGUGCAAGCGUUAAUCGGAAUUACUGGGCGUAAAGGGUGCGUAGGCGGUUCGUUAAGUCUGUCGUGAAAUCCCCGGGCUCAACCUGGGAAUGGCGAUGGAUACUGGCGAGCUAGAGUGUGUCAGAGGAUGGUGGAAUUCCCGGUGUAGCGGUGAAAUGCGUAGAGAUCGGGAGGAACAUCAGUGGCGAAGGCGGCCAUCUGGGACAACACUGACGCUGAAGCACGAAAGCGUGGGGAGAAAACAGG
rnacentral:rRNA from 1 species